CGUUUCUGUUCUGUCGUUUCUGCCGAGACUGUCUGGUAGAGGGAGAGACGGAACCACAAAGGAACA